AGCCCGGAGCGACCGGAACUGGAGGGGGCGGGCGCUGCGGGCCGCGGGCGUGGGGCGGGGCGCCGGCUGCGCGGGCGCUAGCGCGAGAAUUUGAGAGUUCUUGGGUCUUUGUCCGCGUCUCGCGGCCCCAGCCCGAUGCAAAAGGCAGAAGAAGCUGCGGGCGGGCGCUUUCGCAUCUUGAUACUUCUGGAGAUAAGCUGCCGUCUUCGACCGCGGUUGCCGAUCCUGAGUCUGGAGAAUCGUUCCCGAGUGAGAUGAAUCCUGAGCUGUGGACAGCACAAGAAGACCGAGACCCGGGCGGACGUGGCGAGGGUUGGGGGUUGGGGGUUUAAAAAGACAUUCCUGACCCCGGAAGAGGUUGGACAGAGACUGAUCCCCAGGGAUAUGUGGAAGCGUGAUGUCGGUGGCACAACACUGAGCGCGCAUGCGUGCGCACGCCCCCAUGGCUUCCUGUGCCCCGGAAGUGAAACACGGUCGCUGGCCGCAUCCAGGCCGCUGAUUGGUGGUUCCUCACAGUGGCAGCAGCCCUGGAACUCUGGCCAGGGGGCUGAAGGCAGGUGUAGUGCUCUCUCACUGCACAGAAAACAGGAGUGUAAGGGAAGAAAGAGAGAGACCAGCAGUCAUCUCCUGGCACUGUGUGUGGAAAUGGAAACAAAGAGUUGCGGGUACACCCAUGCUGCUGCAUUAUACAAGCGCCAUUACAUGGAUGCGGCUCUGUGCCCUGCGGGAACCAGGUGUUCUCUGCGUCUGUGUGUGAUUAACUUCCAUCUUCAGCGCAUCAUGGUCUGAGAAGAUAGUUGAUACAAUUUCUAUCUUCCCGAUUCUAUUAAGUACGACUGCUCAGCUGGGUGAGAGAGUGUGAGGCAUGCAGAGAUCUCCAGAUGUCUGUGCUGAUGGGCCCUCUCCAGACUGUCUCUGCAAGCCAGCCACCGCCCCAUCUUGGGUUUCUGGUGAGAACAUAUCCCCCGUCCCGCCAGGCCUGGUGCUGGGCCAGGCACUCAUGCAAGAGCGAGCAGAACAUGGUUGGAGAAACAGGUAUGUAAGUGCCACUCAAAGCGCAGUGCACAGAGGCCUUUUAGACUGGCUCUCCGAGGACCCCUCCCUCCGUAGGUCGGGACUGUUGCUUUAUAUGGGAGAGAAGGGGCAGUUAGUGGUGGCAUCACUGGCCAAGGCUGUCACAAGUGCCACGGCCCAAACUUGUGCUGGGUCAAAUGCUUACCUAGGUACAAUCUGUUUCCACAUACAUGCACUGUCCUGUGGGACUCUGCUGUCACAAGCACCCAUGUACUAAAAUUCUACAGCGGUAUAUACUAUUGAACCUUCAGCGGGCCGUCUCCUACUCCAGACGGAAAUAGCAGCAUCACUGCCCCUUUUCUUUUUUCUUUUUUUUUUGGGGGGGGGUCACACCUGGUGAUGCUCAGGUGUUCCUCCUGGCUCUGCACUCAGGAAUCACUCCUGGUGGUGCUCAGGGGACCAUAUGGGAUGCUGGGAAUUGAACCCGGGUCGGCCAUGUGCAAGGCAAACGCCCUCCCCGCUGUGCUAUCUCUCCAGCCCAUCACUGUCCCUUUUCAAGGGAUAGAAUGCACUCAUUUUGGAAAAGUGAAGAGAGGAAAUAAAAAUCACUAAGAACAAGUGACCUGCAGAUGGUCCCCAUUUCCAGUUUCUUCAUUCUGUCACCUCCUUAGCUGCUGAGGUCUUGGGAUGAGUUCAAGACCAGGCACUGGCCCUAGAAGAUAUUAAAGGAGGAAGCCUCAGCUUCCCCUUGCCAGCUGCUGUGAGCAGUCCCAUUUUUAACUGCCCCCAUCCUAAAAUGUUGACAUUCCUACUCAUUCGUGACCCAGGAAGUUUGAACCACUGUCCAACGUCAUAAAAUUCUGCCCUAGAGCCUAGGCUCACCUCAAGACUAAGAUAAUGGACAGUACCUAAGGCCAAUGGCCAGGCCACUCUGGGAUCCUUGCUUUCCCAGUAAUAUUCUUGUCAAUUGAUAAGAAAUGCAAAGGAUCUGAUUUUUAAUUUAAAAGAGGCCACACACACACACACACACACACACUCCUUCACCUUCAUUGCAUUUACUGUAACAUUCACUGUAACCCAAUAAUGCAGAGACCAAGUUUCCCUAUAUAAAAAAACCCCACAUAUCUAGUCCUAGUUAAUUGACUCCUAUACUGACUUCCUCCCCAGCUAGAAAGUUUCCUUCCGUUCCUCGUCUACUUUCCAAUAACCCUUUCUUUCUAUUUCCAGCUCAGCGUCUGAGGAUCUUGGGAGCCGUGGAGCAACUCUGGAGCAACACGGAGACACGUUGUCAUCAUUCCUGCAGCAAUGAGAGAACAUGUCCCUCUAAAUCCACACCCUGGGAAGGCGGCGAUCCUGCCAGAGAUGACAGGGUCCUCUGAACUUGCUGAAGAAAUCCACAGUCCUUCUAGAUCAUCAGCCUUUGGGCUACAGAAUUGGAGUAACCAACGUUGAAGCGUACCUGACCAGGAUAUGUUUUGCAGCCACAGUUUCCAUUCGAAUGACUGAUUAAGUCGAGUCUUGGCCAAGAAUCAAAUGAUAGCUGGUUGGUGAAUAACUGGUAUUUUUUAGUUGUUGUAGGACAUUGACUUGCCAAGACACGGUCAAGUCACCUGCUCUAACUAAUCACACAAGUCCAGAGACCACGUGGAAAUCUUCGUGAAUCUCAACUCCAACGUCAUAGAUGUGGAUACCAAGAAAAAAAUAUUGUAGAGAAGCUGUAUUCACUUUUCUCCUGAGUUGCUUCUGUCAGUACUAUGUCUAUUUCACAUCCCUCACUCACUGACAUCUGAUAGAGGAGAAGGACAGACUCAGAAAGAAAAACAGGAUGUUGCUCAUCUCUACUUGAUCAUAACCUGAGCAAUUCUGUGAGAAAACUGAGCAUUUUCUACAUCGUCCACACUGAGGUAUGUGACCCCAGGAACCAGAAAGCAGCAGUACCUGUAUGCCAGGAAAAUGAAGGAAUCAGGAUCUGGCGCUAGAAAGGAAAAACGCAGAAAACACAAGAAAAGGUCAAAGAGAGGGCAACACCAUUGCUCUGCCGCUCAACCCAGGGGUCUGACUCCUCAGAUGGAAAAAAAAUGUGAAGAUCUUUUCCGCCGUGUACACAGACAAGUGGAGGAAAAUCCCCCUCUUCACCUGCAUCUGCAAAACUACUUACCGCAAGCAUUGUUCUUUCUCCUCCGUUUCUUUUACUUGGAAUAAGGAGUAAGCAGUCAUAAUUGUGCUUGCUCAUCUGCUGUCAUGGAAUGAAGCAGAAAUAAGUGCUUAACCCUGAGCUUCCUGUAUUGUUUCUUGAACUCCAUUUCUUGAUUCUCUCUUAAGAAAAUCUUUAAGACACAAAUGAAUUUUGACUAGAAGUUUUGGCAUCUUUGAUCACCCAUGUGAAAACUCCAUACCUGGGGGCUUGAGCCCGACCCCAAGGCAAAUAUAGCAGGUCGGGUGUUUGCCUUGCACGCAGCUGACCUGGGUUCGAUUUCCAGCAUCCCAUAUGGUCCCCUGAGCACCGCCAGGGGUAACUCCUGAAUGCAUCGCCAGUGUGACCACGCCCCCCCCCCCAAAAAAAAGGGAAAAACUCCAUACCUGCAUGUGUACUAUAAGUAUUGUGAUACUUAAAUAAUAUGACUUCUGAUUCUUGAUUUCCUUAGGUAGUUUACUAUCUGAUGUUCAUUUCUAAGUACAGUUGUUGAUAAUUAGUAACUCCAUAGAGGAUGUGGAAUGCAUGCCAUUAAAGUCAUUAAAGUGCUAGUAGAAGAAAAGUUGUAUUAGUGUCUUAUGGCUCCAAUAGUAAAUACCUACAGACUGUCACUGUCACUGUCAUCCCGUUGCUUAUUGAUUUGCUCUAGUGGGUACCAGUAACGUCUCCAUUGUGAGACUUGUUGUUACUGUUUGGCAUAUCGAAUACGCCACGGGGAGCUUGGCGAGGCUCUGCCCUGUGAGCGAGAUACUCUUGGUAGCUUGCCAGGCUCUCUGAGAGGGAUGGAGGAAUCGAACCGGGGUCAGCCGCAUGCAAGGCAAAUGCCCUACCCACUGUGCUAUCAACUGAAAGCUUCAAAAACCAUAAUCUUUCACUCAGUUCUGAUGGCCAGACUCCAAAAUCAAAGGUAUUGACGAGACCGCACUUCAGGCUGCUCUUUUCCUAGAUUCUCCCAGCUUCUGCUGUUAGCAUUUCAUGGCUUGCUACCACAUCUCUAUCUGCUCUAUGUUGCCAUGGCCAUCUCUUUUAUGUGUCUGUAAUCUCUCCCUACCUCUCCCUCACUGGGAUAAUUGUGAUGGUGAUUGGGGCCCACUCAGAGUGCAUGAUAAGCCUCUCUGCUCAGGAUCCUUAAGUUAAUCACCCCUUUAGCUACCUAAGGUAUUAAGCACAGAUUCUAAGAAUUCGAGUGCAUGCUUACCUUUUAGAGGCUACCCUUCAUCCUACUACAGAAAUAUAGAAAAUAAUUUCUCAAAUUUAGAGCAAUUGGGAGGGGGGUGGUAUAAAGAUAGUAUAGUGGUAUGGCACUUGCCUUGCAUGCAGCCCACCCAGGUUUGAUCUGCAGCACCCCAUAUGGUCCCCGAAGCCUACUAGGAGUGAUCCCUGAGCCAGGAGUAAGUCCUGAGCACAGCUGGUUGUGUUCCAAAGACAACAAUAAAAACAGCAAUGGUUCUUUUUCCAUCAUUUUCCUUUACUCUAACAUUCUUAGGUAGAAACAUAUAUAUUUUUUGUUAUUAAGUCUUAUUAUCCUGGUUGGCUUUGUUCUUAGAGAAUGUUUCCCUUUUUUUUUCCUUUCCUGUGGUGUCAGGGAUCCAACCCAGGUCAUAGGUGUGAAAGAUAUGCGCAUUACCACUAAUUCCUGGCCCUGUUUUUCCUUAGUUUCAGACUCUGUGGUAAUAUACAGUAGGUGCCAACUAAAGUAUUUUUUCCCUAGACAUUAUUUGCCUGUCACAUCAUCAAGCAUUGUUUUACAUUGUCGUAAAAUAUUUAGAAAACAAAUAUUUUAACCAUUUUGAAGUAUUGUAGCUAUCACCAUAAUCCAUUUCCUGAACAUAUUUAUCCUAAACAGAAACUCUUUCCUAAUUAAACAGUAGCUCCCCAUUCCAUCUCCACCUUUAGCAGUUAACCACUGUUCUGCUUUGUCUCCUUAUGAAUAUAUCUAUUGUAGCUAUAUCACAAACAUAGAAUCACAUUUGUCUUUCUCUGGCACCAGUGCUAGGUACGAAACGAGGUCUAUAUAUUCUUUGCCUGUGAGUAGAGUGAGUACACUAAUAAAACCAAUCUAAGGGUCACCUUUUGAGGAUAGGAUUUUUUUUCUCUAAAGAGUAAAAUACAGAAAUCCAAAACUUCGCGGCCGCUGUGGUGGCCACAGGACCUUGUAUCUCUUCAUUCUUAGCAAUAAAAAACAAAUUAUCAAAU